UGCAAGUCGAGCGGCAGCACAAGGAAGUUUAUUCUGAAGUGGCGAGCGGCGGACGGGUGACUAAUGCCUAAGGAUCUGCCCAGUCGAGGGGGAUAACAGUUGGAAACGACUGCUAAUACCGCAUACGCCCUACGGGGGAAAGAGGGGGACCUUCGGGCCUCUCGCGAUUGGAUGAACCUAGGUGGGAUUAGCUAGUUGGUGAGGUAAUGGCUCACCAAGGCCACGAUCCCUAGCUGUUCUGAGAGGAUGAUCAGCCACACUGGGACUGAGACACGGCCCAGACUCCUACGGGAGGCAGCGGUGGGGAAUAUUGCACAAUGGGGGAAACCCUGAUGCAGCCAUGCCGCGUGUGUGAAGAAGGCCUUCGGGUUGUAAAGCACUUUCAGUGGGGAGGAAAGGGUGAGUCUUAAUACGGCUCAUCUGUGACCUUACCUACAGAAGAAGGACCGGCUAACUCCGUGCCAGCAGCCGCGGUAAUA
rnacentral:rRNA from 1 species